CGCUGCCUCUGUCGAUGCAGUGGAGUGUCUCUCUGUAUGUCUCUCUCCGCCUUUGUUCGUGCUUUUAGAAGGUAUAACUUUUUUUUUGCAUGAUACACAAGGUAGAACUUUUUUUUUUCAAUGUAGAACUUUGAUAGAUGCAUUACACAUACCAAAUGCUUUGCGUCAUCAAUUACGAGUAGUUUUUUUUUCUAGAACCAUCAAUUAAAAGUACCACCUCUGUCCUGAUUUAUUAGUCUCCUUUGUAAUUUAUGCUAAAUUUUGACAAAAUGUGAGUGCAUGUUAACAAAAAUUAUAUCGUUUGAUUCGUAUUUAAACAUAGUUUUCAAUGAUAUAAUUUUUGAUGACAUACAUGAAUAUUUUGUUAACUAAAUUUAUGAUCAAAAUUUGGCACAGACUACAGUGAAGACCAAUAAACCAGAAUGGAGUAGUAGUAGACUAGUGGUGGUGCUUUACAGCAUUUAAGGCUAAACUAGAAUAAACUGCAUUCUACCCAGCUUAUUUUAGAAGCCCAAUUAAACUAUUUUAGAAAUCUAUUAACAUACUAGUUAAGAAUUGACUAGUAGGCUUCUAAAAAAAAUGUUUGGUUGGCCUUCUAGAGUAAGCUGAGUAGGGUAGCUUAUUCUAAAAGCCCUCAAAAUAACACGAAAGAACUAGCCCUUACAGCCGAGCUCCACAAAUGCCUCAUAUAUGUCGCAUACAACCCAAUCAGUGACCGGUCAGAAAAUUGUGACCUACCCGAGCUCCUCAAACCGGCCCUAUAAAUUUGGGCUAACCGGUAGCCCCAUAUCUAGCCCAUAUCAGGGUGGAUGUUACUAAAAAAAUCUGGGCAGAUACGAGGAGGCUCGGGCGCAUCAUGUUGGAUCCAACAGCUAGGGCUCAUCACAAAUUCCACCAAAUCCCCGCGACCUCGUCCAACGAGCCAUUUUAUUUCCUAUCUUUUCCCUCGUCUGCCCCGGUCCUCCCCUAGCUCCACCGCCACACUAGCCGUGUCGUCGUCUUGACCCCUGAGCGCCACCACCACUGCCACAAAAUUCCUACCCGGUCGUCUCGCCGCUCUAGACACCGUCGCCAGCCUCUUUCUGUUCAACAAAUUGUCUGAGCAGUUCUAUGUGUUUUUUUGUAGGCAAAACGAUGUAUGCGGAUGGCUCAUCGGAUGAGGAGUAUGGAAACACGGAGCUUGGUAAAUUAAUGCAAAAGGAGUUCUUUGAUUCAUCAGAGUCAAACAAAAAUGUCGAGAUGAUGAUGAUCAUGAGCAUCCAGGAGGAAAUGGACAGGGAUGUGGAGCACAUUAUUAAGUUCGAGAGUUAAAUCAAAGGGAGAAGAGUUUUGAACCAUGGCGCUGGAUCACAGCCGCUCUACAGGAACUACUUUGAUCCCAAACCAACAUUACCUAAUACAUCCUUUCGUUGACGCUUCUUGAUACGUCUUCAAUGUAUCUAUAAUCUUUU
rnacentral:lncRNA from 1 species